CCUACGGGGGGCUGCAGUGGGGAAUUUUGGACAAUGGGGGCAACCCUGAUCCAGCCAUGCCGCGUGCGGGAAGAAGGCCUUCGGGUUGUAAACCGCUUUUGUCAGGGAAGAAAUCUUCCGAGCUAAUACCUUGGGAGGAUGACGGUACCUGAAGAAUAAGCACCGGCUAACUACGUGCCAGCAGCCGCGGUCAUACGUAGGGUGCAAGCGUUAAGCGGAAUUACUGGGCGUAAAGCGGCCGCACAGGGUUGAAAUCCCCGGGCGUAACCUGGGAACUGCACUGGUGACUGUACGGCUGGAGUACGGCAGAGGGGGAUGGAAUGCCGCGUGUAGCAGUGAAAUGCGUAGAUAUGCGGAGGAACACCGAUGGCGAAGGCAGUCCCCUGGGCCUGUACUGACGCUCAUGCACGAAAGCGUGGGGAGCAAACAGGAUUAGAUACCCCGGUAGUC
rnacentral:rRNA from 1 species